rnacentral:rRNA from 1 species
CAGGAUUAGAUACCCUGGUAGUCCACGCCCUAAACGAUGUACACUAGUUGUUGCUAUGCUCGUCAUAGCAGUAAUACAGUUAACACAUUAAGUGUACCGCCUGGGGAGUACGGUCGCAAGAUUAAAACUCAAAGGAAUAGACGGGGACCCGCACAAGCGGUGGAGCAUGUGGUUUAAUUCGAAGAUACGCGAAGAACCUUACCUGGACUUGAUAUCCUUAGAAUCACUUAGAGAUAAGUGAGUGCUAGUUUACUAGAACUAAGUGACAGGUGCUGCACGGCUGUCGUCAGCUCGUGUCGUGAGAUGUUGGGUUAAGUCCCGCAACGAGCGCAACCCUCGUGAUUAGUUGCCAACAGUUCGGCUGAGCACUCUAAUCAGACUGCCUUCGUAAGGAGGAGGAAGGUGAGGACGACGUCAAGUCAUCAUGGCCCUUAUGUCCAGGGCUACACACGUGCUACAAUGGUUGGGACAAAGAGCAGCGAUACCGCGAGGUGGAGCAAAUCUUAAAACCCAAUCUCAGUUCGGAUAGGAGUCUGCAACUCGACUCCUUGAAGCUGGAAUCGCUAGUAAUCGUAGAUCAGCAAUGCUACGGUGAAUACGUUCCCGGGUCUUGUACUCACCGCCCGUCACACCAUGGGAGUUGAUUUCGCUCGAAGCCGGAAUACUAAAUUAGUUACCGUCCACAGCGGAAUUAGCGACUGGGGUGAAGUCGUAACAAGGUA